rnacentral:rRNA from 1 species
ACGCAAUAGAUACCCCGGUAGUCCACGCCGUAAACGAUGGAUGCUAGCUGUUAGAGGUAUCGACCCCGUCUUGUAGCGAAAGCUAACGCGUUAAGCAUCCCGCCUGUGGAGUACGGUCGCAAGACUAAACAUAAAGGAAUUGACGGGGACCCGGCACAAGCGGUGGAGCGUGUUGUUUAAUUCGAUGGUAAGCGAAGAACCUUACCCAGGCUUGACAUCCUUGGAAAGCUUCCGAAAGGAAUCUGUGCCCUCGGGAACCAAGUGACAGGUGAUGCAUGGCCGUCGUCAGCUCGUGUCGUGAGAUGUUUGG